rnacentral:rRNA from 1 species
GAUGAACGCUAGCGGCAGGCUUAAUACAUGCAAGUCGAGGGGCAGCAUGGUGUAGCAAUACACUGAUGGCGACCGGCAAACGGGUGCGGAACACGUACAGAACCUUCCUUCGAGCGGGGAAUAGCCCAGAGAAAUUUGGAUUAAUACCCCAUAGUAUAUUGGAGUGGCAUCACUUUAGUAUUAAAGAUUUAUCACUUGAAGAUGGCUGUGCGGCUGAUUAGGUAGUUGGCGGGGUAACGGCCCACCAAGCCUGCGAUCAGUAACUGGUGUGAGAGCACGACCAGUCACACGGGCACUGAGACACGGGCCCGACUCCUACGGGAGGCAGCAGUAAGGAAUAUUGGUCAAUGGACGAAAGUCUGAACCAGCCAUGCCGCGUGGAGGAUGAAGGUCCUCUGGAUUGUAAACUUCUUUAUAUGGGACGAAAAAAGGGCUUUCUAGCUCGUCUGACGGUACCAUAUGAAUAAGCACCGGCUAACUCCGUGCCAGCAGCCG